rnacentral:rRNA from 1 species
UACGAGGGGGGCGAGCGUUGUUCGGAAUUAUUGGGCGUAAAGGGUGCGUAGGCGGUUUGGUAAGUCUUAUGUGAAAUCUACAGGCUCAACUUGUAGUCUGCAUGAGAAACUGCCGGGCUUGAGUAUGGGAGAGGUGAGUGGAAUUCCUGGUGUAGCGGUGAAAUGCGUAGAGAUCCGGAGGAACACCAAAGGCGAAGGCAGUGUCCUGGGGAGUACCUGACGCUCAGGUGCGAAAGCCAGGGGAGCGAACGGG